GAUGUGAAGGCAAUCUGGCUGCAACAUCUGUCAUGCCACUGACCAGCAGGGUUGAUUCGGCUGAUCUGGCUGGCUAGGCCGGUGUCCCCUUCCUCCCUCCCCGCUC
rnacentral:snRNA from 1 species